rnacentral:tRNA from 1 species
GGCUUCGUGGCCGAAUGGUUAGCGGCGUCAGUCUCGUAAGCCUCGAAGUGUGGGUUCGAUUCCCGCUCCAGUCG